CUUUACAUAAACAAGCCAGCCAUUUUAUAUCUGAAUAAAAAUAGGUUAAUAGCCUCUGCACAAAACAUGGUAUAAACAUCUCUGACUUAAAGCGAAAUAUUUUCCAACUUAAACUUUGCUUCAGAUCCAAACUUCUUUUCUCAGAUACUCAUUUUAUCAAUUGAAUACUUUUUCUAGUUUAUAUGUUUAUUAAAAUUAAUCUUGCUCCCCUUCCAUAUGGAAAAACACACAUCUACUUGUCAUCAUCUUUAUACAGAUUUUAUUUUAAAAAAACUUUCUUGAAUGGCAAAUGUUCAUGGUUGUUCUAAACUAACAAGUCUCUUUUUAAUGGACACUCUUUAAUGUCUAAAUGUGUUUAAUUCUGCAACUGCAUUUGUAAAGAUAAGAAAUGUCAAAAUACAGUUAGUCUGAUGCUGAGGUAAAUUCUUCCAGUUUGGUAAACAUUUCCAUUUUCUUUUUAGUAGAAAGUUUUAAGCGUCUUUACGUAGUGUUAAAAAAAUGACAUUUCGUAAGCCCUUUUCUAUGAUACUACACAAAUACUAGAAAGACUAUAAAAUGUUAAUACUGUUUGUCUCUGGGUGGUGGUAUCACACGCCAUUUUUUUUUUUUUCAUUUCCCAAAAAGCAUUACUACUUUGGUAAUCAAAUAGUAUUUCAAAAUUAAAUUUUAAAUAGCCUAUAAAGUGUGGAACAUCAACACAGUCCACUUCUACAGCAGAUAUGUUAAAUACUUUUUGCCUAUUGAUAAGCUUCUGUUUUAACAGAAAAAUGAUUUGAUCAGCUGUCUUUCAGGUCAGAUGAAGGCAAAACAUUUACUUUCCAGGCCCUUCUCUUAAUUUUGGCUUUUGUGAAAAUCCAAGAAGUGAGUCUGAAUUUAAUUGCAGUGAAGCUUGCAGUAGUAAACUUUCGGGGGGCCAGAAUAACAUCUGUGAUUACAACUAUCAACAGAAUGGCAAAACAUUCCCAAGUUUACCAGUGUUUCCAGAAACUUGUUAAUAUUCUCCUCCAUCAUUAUUUCAGAACAAUUCCAUUUAAAAAGAGUCGCAAUUGUAAAACGUUUCUAUUUCAAGCCCAUAAAAAACAGAACUGGGAUGAAAGGCAAAGCCUUGACCUUUCUAUUUUCGACUCUCAUCUGUGUAGCGAAGCCAUCUGCUUUCUCUCCCCUACCCAUCUACUUAAUGGACUGAAAAUACUGCACCUAAUUGCAAUUUUAUCAAACCAGCCUGACUUUUCCGCUUUAACGAAUUAGGGCUUCCUCAGAUAUCUUUCACCUGAAGCCUCGCUUGUAAAAUUUUGCUUACCCUUCUCUCCCAAGUUCUCCCCACUUCCCUCAAUCAUGAAAUAUCAAAUAUCUUUAAACCAGGAUACUAGGCUCCUGUGGAUUAAGCCAUUUAAAGAGCUCUACACUUUCAGCAUUGAGCGCCUGACGGAAACAUCUACUCUCGUCUCUCCUCAUGUGGCUAUGGGGCCGGUAUUAUAAUCAAUCAUUGUUGCGGUUACGCAGGAGGCACCUCGCAGCUCAGCCUAGAACCGAGACGCGUCUCUUAACGCCGCCAAACAACAGGGCACUCAGACUGGGAAAAAGACGGACAGAGGGAAGAACACCUCCGGGAGGAAGGGAGCUGGGAAGAAGAGGGAGCUCUCAAGACUGGAAGAAAGGACCUUCGAGGCACGCAGGAGAAAGGGCUCUUCGACCGAAGCCUCGGCCCCCUCAGCCGCUACCAGUUCGGGCUCGGGCUCGGGCUCCGACUCGGGUUCGGGUUCUGGCUCCGGCUCGCCGCCGCCGCAGGGUCCGCGAAACUCGCCCAGGAAUAGCUCCAGGAAGCGCCGAUGAGUGCAGGAUGGAUUAAAGAAGAGAGACUCAAGGCUGAAAGAUCAUUUGGGCAAUGGGAGAUAAUGAGUACAGAAAAGACCCGUGACAGUGGGAAUGAAGAUGAACAGAAGGAGCUAAGACACUAUAAAGGAAGAUCUGAAAUUCUAAGGCACCUGAAGACACAACUUGGGAAGAGCCAGCAACCCACUCAGAAAGGCUCCAAACUGGCUGUUCUUGGUAUCUACUGCUGCAUAACCAACUACCUCAAAACUCAGUGACUAUAACAAAAACCAUUUUACUACAUUUCACAGCUCUGUUGGUUGACUGGGCUCAUCUAGGUGGUUCUCACUUGCAGGUCUCAUGAGGUUGUAGUCAGAUACCAGUUGGUUGGGGAUACAGUCAUCCAAAGGCUCAAAUAGACUAGAUGUCUACGAUGACUCACUCACAUUAUUUUUUCAUUUAUAUUGAAAAAAUUGAGUGGAAAAAUGACUAGUAUGUAAAUUGUUUUCAAGGUAUUAAUUUGAUUGUGUUGCCAAACUGGCAGUGGAAGCUGGCUGCUGACUGGGAACUCAGCUAGAGCUGUCAAUUAUAAUGCCUACAUGUAAUGAUUCCAAUAUGAUGGCUUAGGCUUCCAAGAGUGAAUGUUCCAAUGAAUAAAGAGAAGGUGUAUAGCUUUAUAUGACCUGGUGUCAAAAGUUAAUAGCAUUACUUCUGUAGUACUCUAUUCAUCAAAACAGUAAUAAGCCCAUUCAGAUUCAAGAAAGGGGGACAUAAUACACCCCACUUCUGAUGGGAGGAGUGUCAAAGAAUUGGUUAAAAACUACCAUAGAGACAUUUAUCUGCAUGAAUUCAUACAAAAUUUAGCAACUUGAACUUGGAGGCUCAGAAGUUUGAGUGUUCUACACUUAAUUACAUGGGGGAUAUUAACUAACAAAUCUCAUAAGAAAUUGAUACAUAAAAAUCACAAAGACAACAUACGAAUUUACAAUGAGAACUAUAACUUCCAUCAAGACAAGACAUUUGUACCUGGCUGUAACUAAAGUACUUGAGAUUCAAUUAUCAACAUGUUUAUAUUUGAUGUGAAUGAAAUCAGAUAAGAGUUUAUGAUUCAAAAUUUUAAUAUCAGACUGACAAAGCCUAAUGUAACCAUUUCCACAAUAAGGAUCAGAUAUCAAGACCAAUCUAAGAAUAACCCUCUCCUUGAAUGGGGUUUGAGUGGUUACACUGAAGUUUGCUCCAUUUUGACCAUCCUUUUUCCUCCAUACUGCAUUUCUUACCAACACUUCAUUUUAAGAAUAUAGCUCCAUGCUAUAUUUUCUCAGGUUAGAGUUUUCUAACCUCAAUAUUAUUGUUUUGGGCCAAAUAAUUCUUUGUUAUAGGAGACUGUAAUGUACAUUUUAGGAUGUUUAACAACAUAUCUGACCUUUACCCACUAGAUGCCAGUGGUACCUGUCCCUACAGUUGUGAUGACCAAAAUAUCUCCAAAUUGCUAAAUGUCCCCUGGAGGCAAAAUUGUCCCAAGUUGGGAACCACUUCAUUAAUAUAAUUAAGAGCAUGGCUCUGGAGUUAAGACUUAUUUUGAAUUCCUGAUAAGCUGUUUCCUAGUAACAUGACUUAGAGCAAAUCACAAAUUACAAUGUGCACUUCUUGUUUUUGGUUGCACGGGAGCUAUACCCCUUUCCUAGCAGCAUCUCAGUCUCUCUGAGGGAAUUACUUCUCCUCCAUCGUAUGUAGUUUCGGCAGGAUGUUAAAACCAGAUUCCUGGCCUCUUCUUGCACAAGUCAAAGACAACCCCAGUGACUUCUUCUCACAGAUUCAAACACAAACUGGGGUCAGACACAGGUCAAUAGAAUACUUUCUCCCCAGACUUUGAAUCCUGAGCAAGAAAUAAAGAAGGGUGACAGUUAUUUCAUCUCUAUGGGCUCCCACCAUGAGACCAUACCUAUGGUCCCUGCAGUCUGGCUCUCUGGAACUAAACUAGGUCAUGCAUUUCCUAGCUGGCUUCUUCUGCCUUCCUGUUGUUUCUGUAAGUUGUUGACAUCUUUUCAAUACAUUCUUUUUGGUUUAAA